AGACACAAGAAGUGGAAUCCUUCACUGCGCACAUUAACACUGUGGAUAAAAACAUCAAGUUCACCAGGGAAGACACAAAGGACGACUGUUUGCCUUUCCUGGACUGCGCUGUGCACAUUGAAGAGAACGGCAAACUCAACAUCGAAGUUUACCGGAAGCCCACACACACGGACCAGUACCUCCUCUUUGACUCCCAUCACCCUCUGGAACACAAACUUGGAGUAAUUAGGACCCUACACCACCGGGCAGAACGUGUUCCCUCUAAGCCUGAAGGAAAAAAGAAGGAACACACACAUGUAAAGGAAGCACUCAAAACGUGCGGCUAUCCUAAAUGGGCGUUCUUAAAGUCAGCAAAGAGGCACAGAAAAGAAGACCAGACACCAGCGAGGGAGGAUAAGAAGAACAGACGCAACAACAUUGUCAUCCCCUAUGUAGCCGGUGUAUCAGAGAAACUCAGGCGAGUUUUCUCCAAGCACAACAUCCCAGUGCAUUUCAGACCCAGCAACACGCUCAGACAGAAACUGGUUCACCCGAAAGACAAAACGCCAAAACACAAACUUAACAAUGUGGUGUAUGCUGUACAGUGCAGCGAGGAAUGCCCAGACCUCUACAUUGGAGAGACCAAACAGCCACUUCACAAGCGCAUGGCACAACACAGAAGAGCCACCUCCACAGGACAAGACUCAGCUGUCCAUCUGCAUCUAAAGGUCAAAGGUCACUCUUUCGAGGAUGCCAAUGUUCACAUGUUGGACAGAGAGGACAGAUGGUUUGAAAGAGGAGUGAAAGAAGCAUCUAUGUCCACUGUGAGCGACCAUCUUUGAACAGAGGCGGGGUUUACGACACCAACUCUCUGCCAUCUAUAAUCCAGUUUUGAGAUCCCUUCCCAGACGCCUUAACGCCCACUCACAUCCUGGGCCAUCUGACCUCAGGAAUUCACAUGAUAAGGUGGGGCCAGGUUUCACAAUGAGCUCACCCGAAACUCUGGCUGAUUGGGACCCACACCCAGUUUCACACCUUGGCUCAGGUGAUUAGAGGAUCAUCAGGGGGUCCUUUUGUCCCUCUGUGGGGGGAAACUGCCACUAGGUUUAUAUCUGGGACUCUCCACCAUUUGACCUUAGAACUGAAGAAGCUUCUCGGAUGAGAGGUGAAACGUCUUCAAGUAACUUAAAGAAGUCCAGACGCUUUUCUUUCCAAGCUCCUUUGGCUUAUUUGAAGAGUUUCAGUCAGGUUUCAGAGCUCAUCACAGCACAGAAACAGCUUUAGUGAAGGUUACAAAUGAUCUUCUUAUGGCCUCUGACAGUGGACUCAUCUCUGUGCUUGUCCUGCUAGACCUCAGUGCAGCGUUCGAUACUGUCGACCAUAAUAUCCUAUUAGAGCGAUUAGAACAUGCUGUGUAGCGUAGACUACAUACGUAUGAUAAUCUCCACCCUCCUUUACUUCUUCCAACCGUUCGAGUGUCCACAGGGCCAGUUCUGGCCCCCGGACCUUAUGUUUGACACCCCUGACCAAACACCACCCGUGCUCUUCUUCCUGCUCCACCUUAUGG
ensembl:lncRNA